GUGCCAGCCGCCGCGGUAAGACGAGCUCUCCAAACGUUAUUCGGUAUCACUGGGCUUAAAGAGUUCGUAGGCGGUCCUGUAGGUGAGGUGUGAAAUCCCUCGGCUCAACCGAGGAAUUGCGCUUCAAACCGCGGGACUUGAGGGAGGCAGAGGUAAGCGGAACAGAUGGUGGAGCGGUGAAAUGCGUUGAUAUCAUCUGGAACACCGGUGGCGAAAGCGGCUUACUGGGUCUCUUCUGACGCUGAGGAACGAAAGCUAGGGUAGCGAACGGGAUUAGAAACCCUUGUAGUCC
rnacentral:rRNA from 1 species